UCGAUAGAGGCGCGUAUUAUCAAUAGUAACAGUGCAAACAAGGUCUGCCAAAGGCGGUGCUGUGAAAGGGAUGUACGCCGAAGAGGCGGUGCGGCAAACCGUGCUCUGGGAGCCGGAAAUAAUAUUUCGGCUACUGUCGCAGAAAUGCGGGGUGCUAUCU
rnacentral:ncRNA from 1 species